UGGGGGAUAUUGCACAAUGGGCGAAAGCCUGAUGCAGCGACGCCGCGUGGGGGAUGAAGGCCUUCGGGUUGUAAACUUCUUUUGCUCUGAACAAGGCGCACCAUGGGGUGUGUUGAGUGUAGGGGUUGAUUAGCGCCGGCUAACUACGUGCCAGCAGCCGCGGUAAUACGUAGGGCGCGAGCGUUGUCCGGAAUUAUUGGGCGUAAAGGGCUUGUAGGUGGCUGGUUGCGUCUGUCGUGAAAGCUCAUGGCUUAACUGUGGGUUUGCGGUGGGUACGGGCUGGCUUGAGUGCAGUAGGGGAGGCUGGAAUUCCUGGUGUAGCGGUGGAAUGCGCAGAUAUCAGGAGGAAUACCGGUGGCGAAGGCGGGUCUCCGGGCUGUUACUGACACUGAGGAGCGAAAGCAUGGGGAGCGAACAG
rnacentral:rRNA from 1 species